rnacentral:rRNA from 1 species
GAUGAACGCUAGCUACAGGCUUAACACAUGCAAGUCGAGGGGCAGCAUGAACUUAGCUUGCUAAGUUUGAUGGCGACCGGCGCACGGGUGAGUAACACGUAUCCAACCUGCCGAUGACUCGGGGAUAGCCUUUCGAAAGAAAGAUUAAUACCCGAUGGCAUAGUUCUUCCGCAUGGUGGAACUAUUAAAGAACUUCGGUCAUCGAUGGGGAUGCGUUCCAUUAGGUUGUUGGCGGGGUAACGGCCCACCAAGCCUUCGAUGGAUAGGGGUUCUGAGAGGAAGGUCCCCCACAUUGGAACUGAGACACGGUCCAAACUCCUACGGGAGGCAGCAGUGAGGAAUAUUGGUCAAUGGACGAGAGUCUGAACCAGCCAAGUAGCGUGAAGGAUGACUGCCCUAUGGGUUGUAAACUUCUUUUAUACGGGAAUAAAGUGAGGCACGUGUGCCUUUUUGUAUGUACCGUAUGAAUAAGGAUCGGCUAACUCCGUG